GGUGACGUGGCCGAGAGGCGAGGCAGCGGCCUGCAAAGCCGUCCACACGGGUUCGAAUCCCGUCGUCACCU
rnacentral:tRNA from 18 species